rnacentral:rRNA from 1 species
GACGAACGCUGGCGGCGUGCCUAAUACAUGCAAGUUGAGCGCUGAAGGUUGGUACUUGUACCGACUGGAUGAGCAGCGAACGGGUGAGUAACGCGUGGGGAAUCUGCCUUUGAGCGGGGGACAACAUUUGGAAACGAAUGCUAAUACCGCAUAAAAACUUUAAACACAAGUUUUAAGUUUGAAAGAUGCAAUUGCAUCACUCAAAGAUGAUCCCGCGUUGUAUUAGCUAGUUGGUGAGGUAAAGGCUCACCAAGGCGAUGAUACAUAGCCGACCUGAGAGGGGGAUCGGCCACAUUGGGACUGAGACACGGCCCAAACUCCUACGGGAGGCAGCAGUAGGGAAUCUUCGGCAAUGGACGAAAGUCUGACCGAGCAACGCCGCGGGAGUGAAGAAGGGUUUCGGAUCGUAAAACUCUGUUGGUAGAGAAGAACGUUGGUGAGAGUGGAAAGCUCAUCAAGUGACGGUAACUACCCAGAAAGGGACGGCUAACUACGUG